rnacentral:rRNA from 1 species
CAUCGCCGCGGUAAUACGGAGGGGGCUAGCGUUGUUCGGAAUUACUGGGCGUAAAGCGCACGUAGGCGGCUUGGUAAGUUAGAGGUGAAAGCCCGGAGCUCAACUCCGGAAUUGCCUUUAAGACUGCCGAGCUAGCAGGUGAGAGAGGUAAGUGGAAUUCCGAGUGUAGAGGUGAAAUUCGUAGAUAUUCGGAAGAACACCAGUGGCGAAGGCGGCUUACUGGCUCAUACUGGACGCUGAGGUGCGAAAGCGUGGGGAGCAAACAGGAUUAGAUACCCGCGUAGUCCCUGUCUCUUAUACA